rfam:Oryza sativa Japonica Group DNA, chromosome 6, cultivar: Nipponbare, complete sequence.
GAUAUCAACUGAAAAGUCAUCAACAACAAAGUUGAAUAACUCAUCAAGAUCUAAAACUUUUAUUUUGGUCAUUUCUUCAUACGACAAAGUGAUAGUAACAUUGUUCACAAAAUUGACAUAUCUCUUAUCUGGUUUUAUAAACUAUAACACAUAUAUGUAAAAUUUGUGAAUAAUAUUACUAACAUUUCGUCGGAUGAAGAAAUAACAAAAAUAAAAGUUUUAGAUCUUGAUGAGUUAUUUAACUUUGUUGUUGAUGACUUUUUCAAUUGAAAUC